GGGGUUGUAGCACAGUGGUAGUGCUUGACUAACAUGCAUGAGGCACUGAGUUCAAUCCUCAGCACCACA
rnacentral:tRNA from 1 species